GAACGCUGGCGGCAGGCUUAACACAUGCAAGUCGAGCGGGCACUUUCGGGUGUCAGCGGCGGACGGGUGAGUAACGCGUGGGAACGUGCCCUCUGGUUCGGAAUAACUCAGGGAAACUUGAGCUAAUACCGGAUACGCCCUUUUGGGGAAAGGCUUGCUGCCGGAGGAUCGGCCCGCGUCUGAUUAGCUAGUUGGUGAGGUAACGGCUCACCAAGGCGACGAUCAGUAGCUGGUCUGAGAGGAUGAUCAGCCACACUGGGACUGAGACACGGCCCAGACCCCGCCGGAGGGGGGGGGUGGGGAAGAUGGGGGAAGGGGCGCAAGCCUGAUGCAGCGAGGGUGCGUGGGGGAGGAAGGCGUUAGGGCUGACAUGCUCUGUGCUCCGGGAAGAGAAUGGCGGUACCGGAGGAAUUCGCCCCGGACAACUUCGUGCCAGCAGCCGCGUGAAGAGGCGACGCGCACACGUCUGAUC
rnacentral:rRNA from 1 species